CAGUAGCCACGGUAAUACAGAGGGUGCGAGCGUUAAUCGGAUUUACUGGGCGUAAAGCGUGCGUAGGCGGAUUCUUAAGUCGGAUGUGAAAUCCCUGAGCUUAACUUAGGAAUUGCAUUCGAUACUGGGAAGCUAGAGUAUGGGAGAGGAUGGUAGAAUUCCAGGUGUAGCGGUGAAAUGCGUAGAGAUCUGGAGGAAUACCGAUGGCGAAGGCAGCCAUCUGGCCUAAUACUGACGCUGAGGUACGAAAGCAUGGGGAGCAAACAGGAUUAGAUACCCCCGUAGUCCCUGUCUCUUAUAC
rnacentral:rRNA from 1 species